UAUUUAUUAGUUUAAAAAAAACAUUACAUUUUCAUUGUAAAAAUAAAAUAAAUUUUUAUAAAUUA
rnacentral:tRNA from 1 species